rnacentral:rRNA from 1 species
AUUGAACGCUGGCGGCAUGCCUUACACAUGCAAGUCGAACGGCAGCACGGGUGCUUGCACCUGGUGGCGAGUGGCGAACGGGUGAGUAAUAUAUCGGAACGUACCUUAUUGUGGGGGAUAACGCAGCGAAAGCUGUGCUAAUACCGCAUAAUCCCUAAGGGGGAAAGCGGGGGACCGUAAGGCCUCGCGCAAUUAGAGCGGCCGAUACCUGAUUAGCUAGUUGGUGAGGUAAAGGCUCACCAAGGCAACGAUCAGUAGCUGGUCUGAGAGGACGGUCAGCCACACUGGGAGUGAGACACGGCCAAGACUCCUACGGGAGGCAGCAGUUGGGGAUUUUGGACAAUGGGUGCAACCCUUAUCCAGCAAUGCCGCGUGAGUGAAGAAGGCCUUCGUGUUGUAAAGCUCUUUUGUCAGGGAAGAAACAGCAGCUCUAACACAGUUUGCGAAUGACGGUACCUGAAGAAUAAGCACCGGCUAACUACGUGCCAGCAGCCGCAGUAA